rfam:Triticum aestivum genome assembly, contig: Triticum_aestivum_CS42_TGACv1_scaffold_488734_6AS
CAUAUACUCCCUCCGUCCCAAAAUUCUUGUCUUAGAUUAGUCUAGAUACGCCGUAUCUAGACUAAUCUAAGACGAGAAUUUGGGACGGAGGGAGUACAAA